rnacentral:snRNA from 1 species
UGCCCCAGUAGCGCGAUACUAAAAUUACGAUGACACAGAGGGGAAUCAGCAUGGCCCCUACACGGGAUGACACGCAAAUUUGCAAAACAUUCCCAUGUUUU